CAUACCAUUUGCAAAAGUAGACAACCCAAGGUAUUGCAAAUGGGGUAUGUCCAGACUUUUUUAGUAGCCACUUAGUCACAGACACUGGCCAAAGUUAGCAUUUAUAUUCAUUUUUUUUCAUUUUUAACACACAAACAAAUAUAAAAGCUAACUUAUGCCAGUGUUUGUGACUAAGUGGCUACUAAAAAAGACUGGACAUACUCCAUAUUGAAUAAACCUGGGUUGUCUACUUUUGCAAAUUGUAUG